CACAGCUUAAAUCACAUUACCUUGUAAAAGUCUUUGGUUGUGAGAUUUAUACCCAAGUCUAGCCAUGGUUUUCACCAAGGGUAAAAUCAGGAUCAAAAGUAAACAGGGAAGCUUUUAGUACACUUUUACAAGAGUUUUUAUCAGUUACAAGUUCUUUUAGAAAUAUUUCAGAAAUGUGUACGGGCAAGUUGAGAAACAUGGCACCAGCGUGUCUAAAAGUUUUAGCACUGCAUAUUUCAGUGGUGCCAUUUCAGCUGUUGGUGCUCUAUGUGUGGACAUGGCAGGAACAUAAAUACAGGUUAUUAUGAACACAUAGUACUGUCCUUCUCAUCUCCCACAUACCUGCAAGUUAGCAGUUUCUUGUCGUCAAACUAUGCUUAUAAUAUUUUCCUGUGUUUCAAAUUCUCUUUUUAUCACAUGUAAAUAUAUAAUUACAUUUUGUUUCUAUCGAAAUCAAAAUGACUUCUACACGGAUUAUAUCUAACAUGCUAGAUCAUGCUAGAUUUCCUAUUCACAUUGACUUUUGUAACUCAUGCGUAGUAGCUAAAAAGUUGACACUUUAAUUUGAACCGAAAGCCCUGCAUUCCCAAGGCCCUAGCAAUGGUGUUCUCCGUGUACUGAUCAUCUGAUGUUCAGGCAACACAGUCUGACAUAUUUCUAAAGCAGACAUCCCCCCUUAUUAUCCAUCUGCGUUUUCUUUAUGAAACAUACAAGAUAGCAUUGUCACAUAGCUUAAUAAGAAUACACAGUCUACUGGUUUGUUGUAAUUCCGGCGGCUUUGUUCUUGCUCACUCCUUUCUUCUUGGUCUCUCCUUCUCUUUCAUGAUUGUUUUGCUGGUCAUGAUGAUAUCUCUUUGAAAAUGAGAAGAAAAGGGAAGGAAUCAGUGUUCAAUCUUUAGCAUCUGUAGCCAGCUACUACCUUCUCUUUUAUGUGUGUUUUAUUUUUGUCUUCCUCCCUUCUCCUUAUUGUAGUCCCUCUCGUCCCAGUAUGCACACACACAAACACACAGAACUUAUCAACUAUCAACUUUAUCUCAUCUUUACAACCGCACAACAAAGACAGCAGUGCAGUGCAGUUCCAUCUCUGAGAAAUCAGCAACUGUGAGAUAAUUCUGUAACUAAUAAAGUGAAAGGGGCCCUUUGAUGGCCGGAGCUGAAAAGAUACUUAAUUUUUUGUGUGUGGGAUUUGAGAUGUGUGAUUCUAUGGAGCGAGCUGGCUCCCCUGCUGCUAGGCUCUGGCUAGAAGCUGGCCCCCCUCUGGCUAAUGUUAUGGAGAAUCGGUGGAAUUUUAUGGCUGUCUUUUCCCUCAGCCCCCUCUUUUCUUUUGUUCCCCUUUGAAGAAUGACUUUAGACAUUUUAUUUACAUAUUUAACCAUGGAUGAAAGAAACACAGGGUGAAAAACGAAAGCUCCUUCAGUUCUUGUGGGAAUUUGGAUAAGUUUAAAUGAACCAAAAUUCUAUUAGCUUUUAUAAAUUAAUUUAAGUUAGUUUUUUCUCAAAUUGGGAGAUGCACAGACAGUCCGCCAGAAUAAUAGGGAUACCAUUGAAAAGGACACCAAUCUUGUUCUGAUAUCAAAUUUCAACAACUGUCUGGUAUGACAGCAAUUCAACCAAACCUUGUAAAGCUAAAUAUCUGAUUUAAUUACUUGUGGUUAAGGUGUAGCCCAGUCUGUUACAACAUGUGAGGUAUGCCAUGGAAGAGAGAGGGGGACGUUUUAGACAUGUUUUGUAUUGUUGGCGAAGCUGAAAGGGCAUUUUGAUUAAACGUACGGGUGGGGUAAGGGUAUAAUCUUCUUAACCAAGGCCUCCUCUCUUCAUUCAUGGCCCACAAUAAGAAGAAACAACACUCUGUUGGAGGUUAGACUAUUUAUUUAGAUGCCCUGCUCAUUGUUCAGAGGUCUUGUUGUCCAUUGCAAUUCCAUGCAUUUAUUUAACAUUAUAGAGCUUAGUUCGUUCUCCUAAACAUUUUUAAGUAUGUAUAUGUAGUAAAUUAGUUAUUACAGGGGAUAUUUUUUCAAUGAGACUCGGGUUUGUCAUUUAAUGGCCCUAUUUUUUCCUGUCAGUCAUAAGUUAUUAUGAGCCUAUUUGAUAACAUGAUUAUUUAAAAAAGGUGAUCAAAUGCUGCUUCUUUCCAGCCCAAAGUGUGUUACAUUAAAGAGAUGAAUAAAUAAAUGAGAAUAGAAAUUAAUGAAGAGUAAUAUAGAUUGUAGAGAAAUGAAUGAGAAAGCCUUGCUACGUCUACUAAGAAUGAAUAUUCAAACUUCCAUAAAUGUAUGGAGAAAUCAUAAAAAAGUAAAUAAAAAAAUAAAAUCAAUCCCAUUUGAAAUGCAAGAGCUUAAAUAAGAGCAUCAGUUUUGGUAAAGGGUCAGAUGUUUUGAGGAAAUGCGCAUGAAUCUGGCAAUUAAUUAUUUAAGAGCCCUGCAAAACAUCAAAGCUCCAUGUAUUCUUUGCACAUAUGGUUUUAAUAGUUCAAUCAAAAUAACUUAUUAAUGAGAGCUAAUUUGUCCUACUCUCUAUCUAUGCUUCAAGAAAAUCUACUUUUGUAUAUGCUACACAGUCUCACACAUCAUGGAUUUUGUGCGUUCUGUGUGUUUUAGUGACAGCUGAUGGUGUGAAAAUGGUUAGACAACAAAAACAGUUAAGGUUAGGUAACACUCCCACAUUGUUAAGGUUAGGGCUAAGGUUUUACAACAAAAACAGUUAAGGUUAGGUAACACUCCCACAUCGUUAAGGUUAGGGCUAAGGUUUACAACAAAAACAGUUAAGGUUAGGUAACAUUCCCACAUCGUUAAGGUUAGGGCUAAGGUUUACAACAAAAACAGUUAAGGUUAGGUAACAUUCCCACAUCGUUAAGGUUAGGGCUAAGGUUUACAACAAAAACAGUUAAGGUUAGGUAACACUCCCACAUCGUUAAGGUUAGGGCUAAGGUUUUACAACAAAAACAGUUAGGGUUAGUUAACUCCCGAAUAGUUGUAGUUCAAGGUAAGUUUAGACAUAAUUUUUUUUCACUCUGGUGAUUCAAACUCACAAGCACUGACUUACAAACCACCUAAUGCAUUUUUGCACAAAUCAGGUCUACAUAAAACACUCAAAAGUGCACAAAUUCCAUGAAAUUCUUUUUACUCUGAUUUGUGUGAAUUAGACCCUGUUGGUAUAUCUGAGUCACAAGCAGACAUCCUUAUAAUAGUUAGUUGUGCAGUGAUGUUGUGGCUACUGCAAGUCUUAAAGCCAUUUUGGAAAACCAACACACUGGUGGUAUGUAUCUGCUGUGUUGGUGGAUAAUUAAAGGGAGUUAAUAAGGGCAACUCACUGCUGGUGUUUAUAGUGUGGAUUAGUUGAGAGAUGAUGACAGAUACUUUCAAACAAAUGGGGCAAGUCUCACUGGCCCUCUAACAGUUUUGCAAUAAACACAGUGGUAUAAUGAAUUAUGUCUGUUGUGCAUCAGAUCCAAUAACUCUUGGAACUUCUUAGAAAAGGGAAAUGUUAGUAUAGUAGUUUGUUCUUACAUCAUCCUCCUUUCAAGUGGUCGUCAUUUGACACGCAUAUGAGGAGAAGAAGGCGUCCCCUCUGAGUCUGUUCACUAGCUCCAGGCAGAGCACUGAAGCAAAACAGUUACAGUUAACUUCUUGCAAAACACAUUUUUGCUGGGAAAGUCAUUUUGGAUCCGAUGGGAAUCUGUGUUUGCUGGACUUGUUUUUGCAUUUUAAUAAAACGUUUCUCAGAACAUGGUGUGACUUACUGACAUUACAGUUUGGAUGCAGCGACGAAUGAAGGAGGAAAAAACUGUUAGAAAGAGAGUAAACAACUUAAGGCUUCCAUUGGUGAAGAGAAUUGAUGGAAGUAUUACCCAGGGUCCUCGUGGGGGCACUUGAGUGUGAAUCGCUAAUCAGGAAGGCCUUCUCUUUUCUAAUCCCUCUUUGAGUGGCCGGCCUGGAAUGAGUACAUCUGGGGAGACUCCCCACUGCUUCUGGCUCUGGAGGUUCUAUUCAGAGCCACAGCCCUCCUGUACCAUUCCCACAGUCCGCUUACACUGUGCAGCACAGCCACGCACACUCACGAGCACGUGCACACACACAACACACACACACACACACACACACACAGGCAUGUACAGACACACACACACACAUUUCCUGCUUCAACCAAAUUAGAUUAGACCCUUUCCUUUUCUCCCUAGCAAAGCACUGUCCUUUUCUCUGCCCAGAGACCUUCUCCUACCCUUUUGUCUCUGUUCCAAAAUAGAGAAACAAGUUCCCAAACAAACCCCCCCUAUGAAAGUUCUGGUAUAGAAACAGGCGAGCGAAAGGCAGCCAUCUUUGAAUGGCCUUAUUUGAUUUCAUAAUAUCAAUACCCCAUUUGUUCAACUACCCUAAUGAGGAUGUUUUGUGGCUUGGUUGGCAGAGCAGUGAGAACAAGGCCAGCUGCGCUGCAUGUCAACCUGUUAGUUCACAGGGAAGGGAGCCCCCUUCGUUCACUAUUUCUGAGUGUCUCUUCAUUCUAUUCCCUAAUAUUGUCUUACGUUUUCUUCUCUUUGCUCAUAAAUCAUUCAGUGAAUACAUUUCAACUCAUUCAUUAUAUCCUGUCCAUGUUAACUGCGCUGUUUGUGAUUGGUGGAUGUGUACCUUCAUACACCGCUGUCCUGUGAUGUGUUCUCUUCUUCAUUCAUCAGCUGGGGAAACUCACAAUAUCAAAAUCUAUGUUGGAGUUUCAGAGACCCUCUCAAUAAAGGAAAAGAUAUAUGAAGACUCUGUUCCUGUUGAGUGUGCAGCCAAAGCCAUCCCAAAAGCAGCAAAUUGAGAUCAAAGCUAAAUUAAAGCUGACUCGUUCAAAGACAGAUAAAAAUGUGUGAGCCUGCAGCCAUGUUUUCACUAUUGAUUUCCUUCUCUGCCUGCUCUCCCUGGAACAGGGUUGGCUCUGUGCAGGGCUGGGAGGCUGCCUGGUGCUGAGAGAGAGAGAGAGUAAAUGAUUAUUGAUAAAGUCUCAACAACGAUAAUGAUGAUGACUAGAUAGUUAUCAUGCUGAGAGUCAUUGAGAUGACUGUUCUAUUUUAUAUGUAUGCCAUUGCCAUAGUUUCCCUACAGCUUGCUGUGAUGGUGCAUCAGUGGCCAUGUUAUGUUUGAUAUGUGUGUAUGGUCAAUGCCAGCAUCCAGGUGUUCGUUGAUAUCCAGAAAAUUAUAAUUUGC
ensembl:lncRNA